CACGUAGGGAGCAAACGUUGUCCGGAUUUAUUGGGCGUAAAGAGCUCGUAGGCUGUUCGAUAAGUCGGGUGUGAAACCUCCAGGCUCAACCUGGAGACGCCACCCGAUACUGUCAUGACUAGAGUCCGGUAGGGGAGCGUGGAAUUCCUGGUGUAGCGGUGAAAUGCGCAGAUAUCAGGAAGAACACCCGUGGCGAAGGCGGCUCUCUGGGACGGUACUGACGCUGAGGAGCGAAAGCGUGGGGAGCGAACAGG
rnacentral:rRNA from 1 species